rnacentral:rRNA from 1 species
GAUCAUGGCUCAGGAUGAACGCUAGCUACAGGCUUAACACAUGCAAGUCGAGGGGAAACGACAUCGAAAGCUUGCUUUUGAUGGGCGUCGACCGGCGCACGGGUGAGUAACGCGUAUGCAACCUGCCCGAUACCGGGGUAUAGCCCAUGGAAACGUGGAUUAACACCCCAUAGUACUUUUAUCCUGCCUGGGAUGGGAGUUAAAUGUUCAAGGUAUCGGAUGGGCAUGCGUCCUAUUAGUUAGUUGGG